rnacentral:rRNA from 1 species
GACGAACGCUGGCGGCGUGCUUAACACAUGCAAGUCGAACGGAAAGGCCCUGCUUUUGUGGGGUGCUCGAGUGGCGAACGGGUGAGUAACACGUGAGUAACCUGCCCUUGACUUUGGGAUAACUUCAGGAAACUGGGGCUAAUACCGGAUAGGAGCUCCUGCUGCAUGGUGGGGGUUGGAAAGUUUCGGCGGUUGGGGAUGGACUCGCGGCUUAUCAGCUUGUUGGUGGGGUAGUGGCUUACCAAGGCUUUGACGGGUAGCCGGCCUGAGAGGGUGACCGGCCACAUUGGGACUGAGAUACGGCCCAGACCCCUCCGGGAGGCGGCAGUGGGGAAUAUUGCACAAUGGGCGGAAGCCUGAUGCAGCAACGCCGCGUGCGGGAUGACGGCCUUCGGGUUGUAAACCGCUUUCGCCUGUGACGAAGCGUGAGUGACGGUAAUGGGUAAAGAAGCACCGGCUAACUACGUG